rnacentral:rRNA from 1 species
GUGGGGAAUCUUAGACAAUGGGGGAAACCCUGAUCUAGCCAUGCCGCGUGAGCGAUGAAGGCCUUAGGGUUGUAAAGCUCUUUCAGCUGGGAAGAUAAUGACUGUACCAGCAGAAGAAGCCCCGGCUAACUCCGUGCCAGCAGCCGCGGUAAUACGGAGGGGGCUAGCGUUGUUCGGAAUUACUGGGCGUAAAGCGCACGUAGGCGGACCGGAAAGUCAGAGGUGAAAUCCCAGGGCUCAACCUUGAACUGCCUUUGAAACUCCUGGUCUUGAGGUAGAGAGAGGUGAGUGGAAUUCCGAGUGUAGAGGUGAAAUUCGUAGAUAUUCGGAGGAACACCAGUGGCGAAGGCGGCUCACUGGCUCGAUACUGACGCUGAGGUGCGAAAGCGUGGGGAGCAAACAGGAUUAGAUACCCGGGUAGUCC